rnacentral:rRNA from 1 species
UACGUAGAGGGCAAGCGUUGUUCGGAAUUACUGGGCGUAAAGGGCGCGUAGGCGGCACGGCAAGUCGGGAGUGAAAGGCCUGGGCUCAACCGAGGAACUGCUUUCGAGACUGCCGAGCUAGAGUGCGGAAGGGGCAACUGGAAUUCCCAGUGUAGCGGUGAAAUGCGUAGAUAUUGGGAAGAACACCUGAGGCGAAGGCGGGUUGCUGGGCCGACACUGACGCUGAGGCGCGAAAGCCAGGGGAGCAAACGGG